rnacentral:rRNA from 1 species
UACAGAGGUCUCAAGCGUUGUUCGGAUUCAUUGGGCGUAAAGGGUGCGUAGGUGGCGCUGUAAGUCGGGUGUGAAAUUUCGGAGCUUAACUCCGAAACUGCAUUCGAUACUGCCGUGCUUGAGGACUGGAGAGGAGACUGGAAUUUACGGUGUAGCGGUGAAAUGCGUAGAUAUCGUAAGGAAGACCAGUGGCGAAGGCGGGUCUCUGGACAGUUCCUGACGCUGAGGCACGAAGGCAGGGGAGCAAACGGGAUUAGAACGUACCCUGUAGU